GCACUUCUGAAGAGUCCCGCAACAGAACGAAACGGAUGUCCAGUGC
rfam:Schistosoma mattheei strain Denwood, Zambia genome assembly, scaffold: SMTD_contig0002442